AACGAACGCUGGCGGCAUGCCUAACACAUGCAAGUCGAACGAGACGUCCGGGUGUAGUGGUCCACGGGGGCGUAAGGGGUCGGAACCUGCCCUCAGGGUCGGAAUAACUCUCCGAAAGGGGUGCUAAUACGGGAUAAGGUCUACGGACCAAAGAUUUCUCGCCUUUGGAGGGGCCCGCGUUGGAUUAGCUAGUUGGUACGGUAAGAGACGACCAAGGCGACGAUGCAUAGCUGGGCUGAGAGGAUGAUCAGCAACACUGGGACGGAGACACGGCCCAGACUCCUACGGGAAGCGGCAGUGGGGAAUAUAGGACAGUGGGCGAAGGCCUGAUGCAGCAAUGCCGCGUAAGUGAUGAUGGCCUUAGGGUUGUAAAGCUCUUUUACCCGUGAUGAUAAUGACGGUACCGGGAGAAUAAGCUCCGGCUAACUCCGUG
rnacentral:rRNA from 1 species